GAUGAACGCUGGCGGCGUGCCUAAUACAUGCAAGUCGAGCGAACAGACGAGGAGCUUGCUCCUCUGACGUUAGCGGCGGACGGGUGAGUAACACGUGGAUAACCUACCUAUAAGACUGGGAUAACUUCGGGAAACCGGAGCUAAUACCGGAUAAUAUACUGAACCGCAUGGUUCAAUAGUGAAAGACGGUUUUGCUGUCACUUAUAGAUGGAUCCGCGCCGCAUUAGCUAGUUGGUAAGGUAACGGCUUACCAAGGCAACGAUGCGUAGCCGACCUGAGAGGGUGAUCGGCCACACUGGAACUGAGACACGGUCCAGACUCCUACGGGAGGCAGCAGUAGGGAAUCUUCCGCAAUGGGCGAAAGCCUGACGGAGCAACGCCGCGUGAGUGAUGAAGGUCUUCGGAUCGUAAAACUCUGUUAUUAGGGAAGAACAAAUGUGUAAGUAACUAUGCACGUCUUGACGGUACCUAAUCAGAAAGCCACGGCUAACUACGUA
rnacentral:rRNA from 1 species